rnacentral:rRNA from 1 species
UACGGAGGGGGCGAGCGUUGUCCGAAGUUACUGGGCGUAAAGAGCUCGUAGGCGGUCUGUCGCGUCUGCUGUGAAAACUCGGGGCUUAACCCCGGGCCUGCAGUGGGUACGGGCAGACUAGAGUGCUGUAGGGGAGACUGGAAUUCCUGGUGUAGCGGUGAAAUGCGCAGAUAUCAGGAGGAACACCGGUGGCGAAGGCGGGUCUCUGGGCAGUAACUGACGCUGAGGAGCGAAAGCGUGGGGAGCGAACAGG